rnacentral:misc_RNA from 1 species
ACAACAAAAUCUUUUGCAAGUUCCCUAUAUUUGACAAAGAAGGAAAACAUUUUAAAAAAAAAUAAGUAUUGCAGACAUAAGCAUAUACAGCAAACACAAUCUUAUGAAAUUUGUUUAAAUUAUUAGCCAGAUUGCAGGUUUAUUUGUACGCUAAGGCCCUGAAUGCCACUUACAUGUGGAAACACACAAUCUAUAAUGCCAGUAAAAUGAGCUUGUAUCUACUAACAGGCAAUAAGUGGACUUCACUCACAUUAUAGAUCAAUUCUACCACUGAAAAUGAAUGAUUCCAAGGAAGUCACAGUAAAUGGACUUUCCCAUAAAAGGUACAGUUUAAGAUCAAAUUGAAAGGUGCAAGCAUGCAACAAAAAGCUGGGGAGAUAAGGGAAUAUCUCGGAAAAUUAUUAUUUUAAAAUGUCUAGAAAUACACUUGAGUAAUGCAAGGAAACCUUAAGAAACAUUUUUCAGCUUUUUGCCAAUCUAUUAAUAAAAGAUCAAUGAUGCACCCUUCAUGUGCACACUAGCACAUUCAAGUUGCUAAGAGAACCCAGCAUGCUGAGACUUAGUUUGAAAUGAUGAUAGAGAAGAAACAACGAACUUGGCACCAAUUGAGUCCAUUGUGCAAAUGAAAGGCUUG